UGGCCAUGUCAUAUUAGAACACCAGUUCUUAUAUGAUCACUGAAUUUAAGCAAUGUUGGGCCUGGUCAGUACCAAGAUGGUUGACAACUUGCGAAUACCAGGUGCUGUAAG